rnacentral:rRNA from 1 species
UACGGGGGGGGCAAGCGUUGUUCGGAAUUACUGGGCGUAAAGGGCUCGUAGGUGGCCAACUAAGUCAGACGUGAAAUCCCUCGGCUUAACCGGGGAACUGCGUCUGAUACUGGAUGGCUUGAGUUCGGGAGAGGGAUGCGGAAUUCCAGGUGUAGCGGUGAAAUGCGUAGAUAUUGGGAAGAACACCGGUGGCGAAGGCGGCUCUCUGGACCGAUACUGACGCUGAGGCGCGAAAGCGUGGGGAGCAAACAGG